GUACACGCUGUGACUAGCAUAUCAAUAAGCGGAGGAAAAGAAACUAACAAGGAUUCCCCUAGUAACGGCGAGUGAAGCGGGAAGAGCUCAAAUUUGAAAUCUUAAAGGGUUUCCCUUUACGAAUUGUAGUUUAAAGAAGUGUUUUCUGUUGAGGUUUUGGUAAAAGUUCUUUGGAAUAGGACAUCAUAGAGGGUGAGAAUCCCGUAUUUGACCUCUACUUUCAACUUUGUGAUACACUUUCAAAGAGUCGGAUUGUUUGGGAAUGCAGUCCAAAAUGGGUGGUAAAUUUCAUCUAAAGCUAAAUAUUGGCGAGAGACCGAUAGCGGACAAGUACCGUGAGGGAAAGAUGAAAAGAACUUUGAAAAGAGAGUUAAACAGUACGUGAAAUUGUCAAAAGGGAAGCGUUUGACACCAGUGUUGUUUUUCUGAAAAUCAAUUAAAGAACUGUUUAUGCUAAGUUGUUUAGACUUUAUCAGCUAAUCUGUUUAGUUUUGAGCUUUUCUUUAAUGCACUUUUCAGUUAACAAGUCAACAUCAAUUUCUUUUGCUGUAAAAAAGCUUGAGGAAGGUGGCUUGAGAUUCGUCUUAAGUGUUUAUAGCCUCUUGCCUAUGCAGUCGGAGAGAUUGAGGUCUGCAGCGUAGAUCCUUCGGGGCUAAAUGCAUUUGUGCUAAGUUAUAGCAUUUCAUAGACAACUUGUUGACUAUGAUUUGUCUUGUAGCUUACUCGCUUAUGUUAUUUUACCUACGCUUAGGAUGUUGACGCGCGUGUGUGCGUG
rnacentral:rRNA from 1 species